GUUAAAUCCUCCAUUGUUCAGUAAUGAACCUGAACCCUCAGACACAAAAGGUCAGGACCACAGACUGAGAGCAGAGUGUCCAGGAUCCAGCUGUCUGUCUAUGAAGAGAGCAAGGUACAAAGACUUUAAUCCUCCAGACUUUAGAAAUGAAUCUGGACCCUCAGACACAAAAUUUUCAGCAGAUAGUGGUCUGCAGGAGGUUUUAGAUGAACAU